rnacentral:rRNA from 1 species
AUACGAAAGGUGCAAGCGUUGUUCGGAUUUACUGGGCGUAAAGAGAGUGUAGGUUGUUUAUUAAGUCGGAUGUGAAAUCCCGGGGCUCAACCUCGGAACUGCAUUCGAUACUGAUAGGCUAGAGUUUGGGAGGGGUAAGCGGAAUUCCGUGUGUAGCAGUGAAAUGCGUGGAUAUACGGAGGAACACCUGAGGCGAAGGCGGCUUACUGGACCAAUACUGACACUGAGACUCGAAAGCGUGGGUAGCAAACAGGAUUAGAAACCCCAGUAGUCC